rnacentral:rRNA from 1 species
UACGUAGGGCGCAAGCGUUGUCCGGAUUUAUUGGGCGUAAAGAGCUCGUAGGCGGUUUGUCGCGUCUUCCGUGAAAACUGGGGGCUUAACUUCCAGCUUGCGGUGGAUACGGGCUGACUGGAGUGCGGCAGGGGAGACUGGAAUUCCUGGUGUAGCGGUGAAAUGCGCAGAUAUCAGGAGGAACACCGGUGGCGAAGGCGGGUCUCUGGGCCGUUACUGACGCUGAAGAGCGAAAGCGUGGGGAGCGAACAGG